rnacentral:rRNA from 1 species
AUGCCAGCAGCCGCGGUAAUACGAAAGGGGCUAGCGUUGUUCGGAAUUACUGGGCGUAAAGCGCGCGUAGGCGGUUUGCCAAGUCAGAGGUGAAAGCCCGGGGCUUAACCUCGGAAUUGCCUUUGAGACUGGCAGGCUUGAGUACGGGAGAGGUAAGUGGAAUUCCGAGUGUAGAGGUGAAAUUCGUAGAUAUUCGGAAGAACACCAGUGGCGAAGGCGGCUUACUGGACCGUUACUGACGCUGAGGCGCGAAAGCGUGGGGAGCAAACAGGAUUAGAUACCCUGGUAGUCCACGCCGUAAACGAUGGGUGCUAGAUGUUGGGGGCCUUUGGCUUCCGGUGUCGCAGCUAACGCGUUAAGCACCCCGCCUGGGGAGUACGGCCGCAAGGUUAAAACUCAAAUGAAUUGACGGGG